rnacentral:rRNA from 1 species
GUGGGGAAUCUUGCGCAAUGGGCGAAAGCCUGACGCAGCCAUGCCGCGUGAAUGAUGAAGGUCUUAGGAUUGUAAAAUUCUUUCACCGGGGACGAUAAUGACGGUACCCGGAGAAGAAGCUCCGGCUAACUUCGUGCCAGCAGCCGCGGUAAUACGAAGGGGGCUAGCGUUGCUCGGAAUUACUGGGCGUAAAGGGCGCGUAGGCGGACAGCUUAGUCAGAGGUGAAAGCCCAGGGCUCAACCUUGGAAUUGCCUUUGAUACUGGCUGUGUUGAGUUUGGGAGAGGUGAGUGGAACUCCGAGUGUAGAGGUGAAAUUCGUAGAUAUUCGGAAGAACACCAGUGGCGAAGGCGACUCACUGGCCCAAUACUGACGCUGAGGCGCGAAAGCGUGGGGAGCAAACAGGAUUAGAAACCCCUGUAGUCC